rnacentral:rRNA from 1 species
AAAUGAAUAGACGGGGGCCCGCACAAGCGGAGGAACAUGUGGUUUAAUUCGAUGAUACGCGAGGAACCUUACCCGGGAUUGAAAUGUACCUGACAGGCUUGGAAACAGGUCCUCUAGCAAUAGCAGGUAUGUAGGUGCUGCAUGGUUGUCGUCAGCUCGUGCCGUGAGGUGUCGGCUUAAGUGCCAUAACGAGCGCAACCCUCAUUGAUAGUUACUAACAGGUAAAGCUGAGGACUCUAUUAAGACUGCCGGCGUAAGCUGUGAGGAAGGUGGGGAUGACGUCAAAUCAGCACGGCCCUUACAUCCGGGGCGACACACGUGUUACAAUGGUGGGGACAAAGGGCAGCUACCUGGCGACAGGAUGCGAAUCUCCAAACCCCAUCUCAGUUCGGAUCGGAGUCUGCAACUCGACUCCGUGAAGCUGGAUUCGCUAGUAAUCGCGCAUCAGCCAUGGCGCGGUGAAUACGUUCCCGGGCCUUGUACACACCGCCCGU